rnacentral:rRNA from 1 species
GUACACGCUGUGACUAGCAUAUCAAUAAGCGGAGGAAAAGAAACUAACAAGGAUUCCCUUAGUAACGGCGAGUGAAGCGGGAAGAGCUCAAAUUUGAAAUCUUCAAGGUUUUACCUUGACGAAUUGUAGUUUAAAGAAGUGUUUUCUGCUGAAGUUUUGGUAAAAGUUCUUUGGAAUAGGACAUCAUAGAGGGUGAGAAUCCCGUAUUUGACCAUUAUUUUCAGCUUUGUGAUACACUUUCAAAGAGUCGGAUUGUUUGGGAAUGCAGUCCAAAAUGGGUGGUAAAUUUCAUCUAAAGCUAAAUAUUGGCGAGAGACCGAUAGCGAACAAGUACCGUGAGGGAAAGAUGAAAAGAACUUUGAAAAGAGAGUUAAAUAGUACGUGAAAUUGUCAAAAGGGAAGCGUUUAACACCAGUGUUGUUUUCUGAAAAUCAACCUCUGUUAGCUUUAUGCAUGUUUGUUUAGACCUAAUCAGCUAUCUUGCAUGUUCUAUUGUUUGCAGUGGUGCACUUUUCAGUUUACAGGUCAACAUCAGUUUUUUUUACCGUAAAAAAGUUAAAGAAAGGUAGCUCAUGGCUCCGGUCGUGAGUGUUAUAGUCUUUUUCCUAUGCGGUAGGAGAGACUGAGGUCUGCAGUGUAGGCUAUUUGGCUAGAUACUCAGGUGCUAUGUGAUACCAUUUCAUAAACAACUUGUUGAUUAUGUUUUGUCUAUUGCAUACUCGCUUGUACUAUCAUACCUACGCUUAGGAUGUUGAUCUACAGAGCGAGAGU